rnacentral:rRNA from 1 species
GACGAACGCUGGCGGCGUGCUUAACACAUGCAAGUCGAGCGGUAAGGCCCCUUCGGGGGUACACGAGCGGCGAACGGGUGAGUAACACGUGGGUGACCUGCCCUCAGCUCUGGGAUAAGCCUGGGAAACCGGGUCUAAUACUGGAUAUGACUCCAUGACGCAUGUUGUGGGGUGGAAAGCCUUGUGCGGCUGAGGAUGGGCCCGCGGCCUAUCAGCUUGUUGGUGGGGUGANGGCCUACCAAGGCGACGACGGGUAGCCGGCCUGAGAGGGCGACCGGCCACACUGGGACUGAGACACGGCCCAGACUCCUACGGGAGGCAGCAGUGGGGAAUCUUGCGCAAUGGGCGAAAGCCUGACGCAGCGACGCCGCGUGAGGGAUGACGGCCUCGGUU